GACGGACGCUGGCGGCGUGCUUAACACAUGCAAGUCGAACGGAAAGGCCCUGCUUGCAGGGUAUUCGAGUGGCGAACGGGUGAGUAACACGUGGGUGAUCUGCCCUGCACUUCGGGAUAAGCCUGGGAAACUGGGUCUAAUACCGGAUAGGAGCCAUUUUUAGUGUGAUGGUUGGAAAGUUUUUUCGGUGUAGGAUGAGCUCGCGGCCUAUCAGCUUGUUGGUGGGGUAAUGGCCUACCAAGGCGGCGACGGGUAGCCGGCCUGAGAGGGUGGACGGCCACAUUGGGACUGAGAUACGGCCCAGACUCCUACGGGAGGCAGCAGUGGGGAAUAUUGCACAAUGGGCGCAAGCCUGAUGCAGCGACGCCGCGGGGGGGAUGACGGCCUUCGGGUUGUAAACUCCUUUCGCUAGGGACGAAGCUUUUUGUGACGGUACCUAGAUAAGAAGCACCGGCUAACUACGUG
rnacentral:rRNA from 1 species